GGGGUUGUGGCUCAGCAGUAGAGCACUUGCCUAGCGCAUAAGAGGCCCUGGGUUUGAUUCUCAGCACCA
rfam:Ictidomys tridecemlineatus contig110994, whole genome shotgun sequence.